GCCCCACCCUGUCGAUGGCACAGGGUUAUGGCUGCUGGAGCAGAUUAGCACAGCAUCCACUCAAGGGUUACCUUUCCUGCCUCUCUAUGUGAAUUUCCUGCUCCCGAAACAAUGUGGUUCCUCUGGAUAGGGCUGGGCUAUUCAUUCAUUCAUUCACUCACUCAUUCUUCAUUCAUUAUUUAUUGCUCAGGUCCCUGAGCAACGGGAUGUGACGAGCCCCUGUUAUCCUGGACCUCCCCACUAGUCUCCCAUCUCCAGAACAAUCCGCGUUCCAGCUUCCUCCCCGGAAACCACCCAGAUUCAGAGAAGAGCUAGGAUUCCCCCGGCACUGGUGAGGAUCGUUUCGGCUGCUGGCGGAGGAGACGAGGGCAGCCUGAAGUCACCUAGACAACAGCACAGCCAACCAGCCACAGCCUACCCCCGACAUCUCAUCCUCUGGGCCAGCCGUUCUCAAACCCAUUGAUCUCGGAUCUCUUUACACUCUGAAAAAUUAUUAAGGACCCCAAAGAGCUUUUUGUUUGUGAUAUGUUUAUUUAUCACGUAUAUACUCUACAGCAAUUUAAAAAAAAUUUAUGAGCUCGUUAAAAAAAAUAAACCAUUACAUGUUAACAUACAUAUUUUUUAGUAACUAAGU